rnacentral:ncRNA from 1 species
ACCCCCGUGAGAAUGCCCUGCUUUAUCUACCCAUGAAAAAGAGGAGCUGGUAUCAGGCACAACUAACUUAGCCCAUGACACCUUGUUCAGCCACACCCCCACGGGAAUCCAGCAGUAAUAAACAUUAAGCCAUGAGUGAAAACUCGACUUAGUUAACAUCAAGAGGGCCGGUUAAACUCGUGCCAGCCACCGCGGUUAUACGAGAGGCCCAAGUUGAUAAAAAUCGGCGUAAAGAGUGGUUAAUAAAGUAUAAUAUUACUAAAGCCAAACACCUUCAUAACCGUUAUACGUGCUCGAAGGCAGGAAGACCCCCAACGAAAGUGGCUUUAACUAAAAUGAGCCCACGAAAGCUAAGAUACAAACUGGGAUUAGAUACCCCACUAUGCUUAGCCCUAAACACAGAUGAACCACCACUUCAAUCAUUCGCCAGGGAACAACGAGCCCCAGCUUAAAACCCAAAGGACUUGGCGGUGCUUUAGACCCCCCUAGAGGAGCCUGUUCUAGAACCGAUACUCCCCGUUCAACCUCACCCUCUCUUGUUUUACCCGCCUAUAUACCGCCGUCGUCAGCUUACCCUGUGAAAGCCCAAUAGUAAGCAAAACUGGUAUAACCUAAAACGUCAGGUCGAGGUGUAGCGUAUGAGAGGGGAAGAAAUGGGCUACAUUUACUGGACCCAGUAAAAACGAACAUUGCAUUGAAACAAACAAUUGAAGGAGGAUUUAGCAGUAAGGGGCGAAUAGAGAGCCCCCCUGAAAAUGGCCCUUAAGCGCGCACACACCGCCCGUCACUCUCCCCGACCAAAUAAAUAUAAUAAAUAAUAAAACUAAUUAACCAAGGGGAGGCAAGUCGUAACAUGGUAAGUGUACCGGAAGGUGCACUUGGAAAAACC